rnacentral:rRNA from 1 species
UGUACGGCCACACUGGAACUGAGACACGGUCCAGACUCCUACGGGAGGCAGCAGCUAAGAAUCUUCCGCAAUGGGGGAAACCCUGACGGAGCGACGCCGCGUGGAUGAUGAAGGCCGUAAGGUUGUAAAAUCCUUUUGUCGGUGAAGAAUAAGUGGGGGAGUGGAAAGCCCUCAUGAUGACGUUAGCCGACGAAUAAGCCCCGGCUAAUUACGUGCCAGCAGCCGCGGUAAUACGUAUGGGGCAAGCGUUGUUCGGAUUUAUUGGGCGUAAAGGGCGUGUAGGCGGCUCAUCAAGUCUGGUGUGAAAUUGCAGGGCUCAACCCUGCAGAUGCGCUGGAAACUGGUGGGCUUGAGUUCUUGAGGGGAAGCUGGAAUUCCAGGUGUAGGGGUGAAAUCUGUAGAUAUCUGGAAGAACACCGGUGGCGAAGGCGAGCUUCUAUCAGAGGACUGACGCUGAGGCGCGAAAGCGUGGGGAGCAAACAGGAUUAGAUACCCUGGUAGUCCACGCUGUAAACGAUGUGCACUAGGCGUGGGGCCCGUACGGGUUCUGUGCCGUAGUUAACGUGUUAAGUGCACCGCCUGGGGAGUAUGCUCGCAAGGGUGAAACUCAAAGGAAUUGACGGGGGCCCGCACAAGCGGUGGAGCAUGUGGUUUAAUUCGAUAGUACACGAGGAACCUUACCAGGGCUUGACAUGUGCGUGAAUGUUCACGAGAGUGGGCAGCCCCGCAAGGGGCGCGCACACAGGUGCUGCAUGGCUGUCGUCAGCUCGUGUCGUGAGAUGUUGGGUUAAGUCCCGCAACGAGCGCAACCCUUACUGUCAGUUGCCAACAGGUUGUGCUGGGCACUCUGGCGGAACUGCCGGUGACAAACCGGAGGAAGGUGGGGAUGACGUCAAGUCAUCAUGGCCCUUAUGUCCUGGGCUACACACGUGCUACAAUGGUCGGUACAAAGCGAAGCAAAACGGCGACGUCAAGCAAAUCGCAGAAAGCCGAUCUCAGUGCGGAUUGGAGUCUGAAACCCGACUCCAUGAAGUUGGAAUCGCUAGUAAUCGCGCAUCAGCAUGGCGCGGUGAAUACGUUCCCGGGCCUUGUACACACCGCCCGUCACACCACCCGAGUUGGGGGUACCCGAAGUCAGUAGCCUAACCGCAAGGGGGGCGCUGCCGAAGGUAUGCCUGGUGAGGGGGGUGAAGUCGUAACAAGGUA